GAUGAACGCUGGCGGCGUGCCUAAUACAUGCAAGUCGAGCGAACAGACGAGGAUCUUGCUCCUCUGACGUUAGCGGCGGACGGGUGAGUAACACGUGGAUAACCUACCUAUAAGACUGGGAUAACUUCGGGAAACCGGAGCUAAUACCGGAUAAUAUAUUGAACCGCAUGGUUCAAUAGUGAAAGACGGUUUUGCUGUCACUUAUAGAUGGAUCCGCGCCGCAUUAGCUAGUUGGUAAGGUAACGGCUUACCAAGGCAACGAUGCGUAGCCGACCUGAGAGGGUGAUCGGCCACACUGGAACUGAGACACGGUCCAGACUCCUACGGGAGGCAGCAGUAGGGAAUCUUCCGCAAUGGGCGAAAGCUUGACGGAGCAACGCCGCGUGAGUGAUGAAGGUCUUCGGAUCGUAAAACUCUGUUAUUAGGGAAGAACAAAUGUGUAAGUAAAUAUGCACGUCUUGACGGUACCUAAUCAGAAAGCCACGGCUAACUACGUG
rnacentral:rRNA from 1 species